UCUGCCUCUCCCUAGAGGCCAAGUGAAUUUGAAAUGGCAAAAGUCACAGCCGGAGGCCCAGCACUAGGAGAUUCCUCCGGCUGCGGGAAAUCUUCCUGUACCUGCUGAAGCUGCUGCGUUCCUCAGAGGCGCUUGGUCUGCCGUGGGAAGCUGCACCUCUGCAGUCCCCAAAACCAAAAUCAAACCUUAAAAGAGCCAGACUGAGGUAAGGCGGACCGUCUUGCUCUGAUUUGAGUAUUGGUAGACAAACAGCAAUAUAAAUCGAUACUAAAAAAAUCCAGAAAGGCUGCAACUUCAUGGCACAUCAAAACAACCAUAUCCCUGGCUCUCUGUCUCUUUUUUUUUCUCUAUUAUUUGGAGUUGUCCUCUCAGUCCGGCCUGGAGGACUUGGACAACUCAGACACCUUCUCUGUGUCUGGGAUCCCUCCACAGAAGCCAGUCACCACGUAAGACAUCUGGACCACCUUCAGACUCGCAUGCUGUGAGGAAGCCCAUGCUUACUAUGUGUAGAGGAUACAUGGAGAAGGAAAGAGAUGCCUG
rnacentral:lncRNA from 1 species